CCUACGGGGGGCAGCAGUGGGGGAUAUUGCACAAUGGGGGGAACCCUGAUGCAGCGACGCCGCGUGGGUGAAGGAGUGCUUCGGCAUGUAAAGCCCUAUCGGCAGGGAAGAAGCAAGACGGUACAGGACUAAGAAGCCCCGGCUAACUACGUGCCAGCAGCCGCGGUAAUACGUAGGGGGCGAGCGUUAUCCGGAUUCACUGGGUGUAAAGGGAGCGUAGACGGCCAUGCAAGCCAGGUGUGAAAGCCCGGGGCCCAACCCCGGGACUGCCCUUGGAACUGUGCGGCUAGAGUGCGGGAGGGGCAGGCGGAAUUCCUGGUGUAGCGGUGAAAUGCGUAGAUAUCAGGAGGAACACCGGCGGCGAAGGCGGCCUGCUGGACCGCGACUGACGUUGAGGCUCGAAAGCGUGGGGAGCGAACAGGAUUAGAUACCCCAGUAGUC
rnacentral:rRNA from 1 species